rnacentral:tRNA from 1 species
UCCUUGGUAGCUCAGUUGGUAAAGAAUCUGCCUGCAAUGCAGGAGACCCAGAUUCAAUCCCUGGGUGGGGAA